GGUCGGGUAGCUGAGGCAGAUUAGCGUCGCUCUGAAAAAGCGAAGAGGUCGGUGCGAUUCCGACCCCGACCA
rnacentral:tRNA from 1 species